AUGGAGUGCAGUGGUGUGAUCAUGGCUCACUGCAACCUAAAUCUGGGCUCAAGCAAUCCUCCAGCUUUGGGCUUACAAGUAGCUGGGACUACGGGAAACCACCAGAAUCAUGGUAUUCUGAAGACUAGAGAUGCGAGUCUUCCUCAUUUGGCAUCCCACUGGGCCCACUGUGUUAUUCACUGCAAAUGCCCCUCCCUCUAGAUCCAGGAGCUAUUGCAGAAGAGUCUUUCUCCAGUCCAUGUGAGAUUGAAACAACAACCCUGACACCUACCUUUCAUCAUUAAAAACAAAAAUUAAAGAUGAAUUCUAGAGCCAGUUGUGAAAACUAAAACUGUAAGAAACAAAGGAGAAUGUCUUCACAGGUG
rnacentral:lncRNA from 1 species